UUGUACUUUGGAAAUUUAUAUUUAUUAAAUAAAAACUGAAAAAAAAAGAUAUAGCAUUCACAUACUAGGUAAUUUUAAGUUGGCUUGUGUGGGCACCACUUUUACUUGAAGAAAAGAAUCAAAAAAUCAGGUUAGAGGUCUACAGAGUCAGAUGAUGAAAGAAACAACAAGGAGUUUGAAAUACUAAAGAGUUUGAGUGUUGUUCUGGGCAGCAAAAUGUCUGUAUUUUAGUGAAAAAAUAGUAGUGAUUAAUUGUGAAGAGUGACAAUAGGAAUGUGUGGCCGGAAUCUGGGAAAAUAAGGACAUUGGUAUGAUUUUUUCAGGUAACAGAUGAAGCAGUUGAGGACGAUGAAUUGAGGAGUUGGUUAGAGUGUGAUAGAAAGAAAGGAUGACAUGAGAUCAGGGGUACUGAGGCAAUAGAAUUGACUGUGGCUGGGUAGGAGUAUCAGGUAGGAAGGAAUCCAAGAUGACUCUGUAAGUGUUAAGAACCAUACGAGGAAGAAAUAGUCUGUCCUGUUCUCAGAGUAACCCAAUAAUUUGCUCAAUGUCUGACUCAUAACAAGAAUCCAAAUUACUCAUUGUUAAAGACAUAGCCAUUUCUGGUUUGAGUGACUGGCAGAACACUGGUGGUGCAACCAAAGAUCCAACAAAUAAUGCAGAAUGUAAGAUACUAGCUGAUAUCCACAGGGCUUUUCUAGAAUUAGGCCGUAUUUAUCUAAUUAUUAUAAUAAUGGACUAUUUCUUGAGCUCUUACAAAGUAGGAGGCAGUUGGUUAAGUACUGUGCAUAUGGUAUUGCAAUUAAUGGUCAUGAAUUAUGACUUCAAUGGUCAUAGAGGAAUUCUUCUACAAGAAUGAAUGAUUGCUGUAAUAGCUUUCUUAGGAGUGAAGAAACUCAAACUCUGAAAGGUUAAGGAAACCAGCCAAUGUCACAGAGUUAGUGAGCAGCAGAGUCAGGUUUAGGACCCAGAUCAGUGUGAUUCAAAGCCUACAAUGUUAACCAUGGUGCUUAGAGAUGGAGAAAGAGCAAUUUGCUCAAGUUACACAGUAAGUAAGGGCUUUACAUGGGCUAAAGCAUCUGUUUCUCUUAUAGUGGAUGUUUUACCUAAAAAGGCUAGGUAAAUCUUGAUGAUAUCUUACUACAUCACUCAGACUAUAGAUACUUGCAAGCUAUUUUGGGGAAUAGCCAACACUGUGCUGUUUACUGGAUAGGUACCAGUAAGUUCUGUGCUUCUAUUAAGUCUCCAGGCAAUGAGAUGCCUAGUGCAAUGACCUCACUACUAAUGAUAGUGAGUACCAGAGCACAAGAAGUGAUUUUAUUCUUACUAUUAUUUGCUAAAACCAGAAGUCUUAGCAGCUGUAAUUAAUAUUAGUAAGCAAAAAUUUCACAGAAUACUGGUAUUUUUCACAUGCCUGGCCAAAUCUUAAAAUAUUAAGAAAGAAUAUUGGGUUCAUAACUUGUCAUAUUUGCAUGUGAACACCCAGAAUCAAGUUUCUAUAUCAAUGGAGAAGGAGACUUAUCAAGCAAUAUGGUCUGGGUGACCAUAGAAAAUUUUCCCCUUAAAUAUUUAUCAUUAUUAAGCAACAUAAAGGUUCAUUGACAAAGGACAUUGAAGCAUCACAACAGGGGGUGAGAUUGUCCAGGACUGAAUCUUAUCUAUGGUUGUUUGUCCUAUUUUUUCCUGGAGAUUUCUAGUAUAUUAUCCUCCCUGUUUUCCAGACCAUACUCGCUGGUUGAGUCAAUUCCCUUCAUUGACCAGCAUCUGAUAAACAGUAACUUCACUUUAUUUCCCUGAGCACACUCCCUUUUUCUGCGAAUUUCUUCCCAUAUUGAAAAAGGGUUUUUUUUUAUUCCACAUCCCCUUUCUUGCAAGGCUUCAGAGUGAAUUACAACAGUCAUCAAUAUAAGAAUGCAAAUAAAAAUAGCUUUGAGGGGGUGGGCAUUGUAGAACCUAUGGUAACCCCAUUUUGGAAUGCUGGUUCAAGACCUGUUUUCUCUGCUUCCAAUCCAGCGUCCUGCUCAUGUGCCAGAAAAGGCAGCAGAUGAAUGCCGAAAUACUUGGGCCCCUGCCACCCAUGUUUGAGGCCCAGAUGGAGUCCUGGCUGCUGAUUUAGGCUAGACCCAGCUCUGGCUGUUGUAGUAAUUUAGGGAGUAAACCAGAGAUGGAAGAUCUCUCCUUCCCUGCCAAUCUGCCUAUCAGACAAAUAAUAAGUCAAUAUUUUUUAAAAAAAAUAGCUAUGAUUUACUAAGACCCUGUACUAAAUAAUUUUAUGCCUAGCACUUUGUUUUUAAAGUUUUUUUUUUUUUAUUUCAUUUAUUUUAAAGGCUCAGUGACAGAGAGAGGGGGGAGUGGCAGAGAAAGCUCUUCCAUAUGCUGGUUCAUUCUCCAAAUGCCAGCAACAGCUGGGACUGGGCUGGCUGAAACCAAGGUUCAGAAAACCAUCCAAGUUUACUAUGUGGGUAGCAGAGGUCUAAGUACUUGGUCCAUAAUCUGCUGCCUCCCAGGGUGCACAUUACCAAGAAGCAGGAUCAGAAGCAGAAGUGUGACUGAAUCUCAGGUACUCUGAUACGUGUACCAAAGAUCAGCUUAGCCUGCUAAGCCACAAUGCCUCUUCCUUGGCAUUGUAUUUAAUCCCAGUGAAACUCAGACAAGGUAAUGAUGAUUACAUUGUAGAUCUUUCUGGACUGGCCAGCUGGGCUUCCUUCCUCCAUCCCUAUUUCCUCUCUCUAUCCCUCUCUCCCUUUUUCUUUCCUCUUUUUUGUUUAUCUGAAUUUUUAAAUACUUUAAAAUGAAGCUGGUUUAUUUUGUAAAAGGAAAAAAAAACCUCAAUGUUAUUUUUGAAAAGUAAACUUGUCCUUAUUUGACUGCAUUUCUGCAAAGCAGGGGCCACUGACUCUGAAUUUGAAAUGUAUUGCAAGAACUCAGGUUAGCUGGACAUUUCUGUGAAGACUUCACAAGCACUCCUGAUAGAUUUACUAUGUAGGAAUAUGAGACCAGACUGAGACUGACACUGGGAUUCAUACAUGUUUAUUUACUUGUGUAGCUUUGCAUUGGUUGAAGGGGAUGGCAUGGAGAAGGCUUCCGAGAAGGAAGCAGGGAGGGAAAGGUGAGAACAACUGGGUGCCUAUGACAUGUCUGGCAUAAUCCAGGAACAGAGCUUGAAGGAGAUGUUUAUACAACAGCCUCUGUGAGGCCCAAACGUACGAAGAGGGCAUCCUUGGUGUUCAGAAGAUAGAACCCAGCACAAAACUAUUACAAAUAAGCUCCUACUCACUCUAGAGUGAGAAUAUAAUCAAAUUUCAGCAUUUGGAGGAUGCCUGAGAGUGAAGAAUGUCUGGAGGGACUAGUUCUGGGACAAUCCUUACAAGAGAGCACAUUGUAAGUGUUGAGAGCCGCUCCCCAAAUGUGUUCUUUGUCAUCCAACAUAGAAGGUGGGGAGGGGGCACAAAUGGGGAAGUUAAGGAAUAACAUGAUCAAUGCCACACAGUUCCUGGAGUGAAUGGACUCCUGUAUGACACCUGCCAUUUGUAAAGAGUUAAAAAGUUGAGAUUGGAAUGAGAGUCUUCUUUCAUGUGGAAUAAAGAGGUUAUAAUCUUUAAUGUGACCCUUUGUAUACACAAAGUACAGUAUAAUGUCCAGAAACUGACAUUGUAAGAAAAUAGCCUUAGCUUCCAAUCCUAGAGAUGGAGAAGACUGGGAGGUAUCUAAUACCUUCGGUCAACUCCACAGUCACCCAAAGAGAAAAGUUCUUAGCCUCUGAAUGACUCUUUUGAUGGGACCCACAAGCUCCACCUUUCUUUUAUUAAAGUUGUUUGAUUUCUCUGUCAAUAAUGUUUGCAGACAUGGACAGGGAUAUUUUGUCUGUGAGGUAGAGUGAGGGCUUAAGCUCAGUCUAUGCUAUUCUCAACAUUUAAAAUCAAUUUUCUUUUUUUAUUUUUAUUUAUUUAUUUUUGACAGGCAGAGUGGAUAGUGAGAAUGAGAGACAGAGAGAAAGGUCUUCCUUUGCCGGUGGUUCACCCUCCAAUGGCAGCUGAGGCCAGGGCAAUGCGGCCGACGCACCACGCUGAUCUGAAGCCAGGAGCCAGGUGCUUCUCCUGGUCUCCCAUGUGGGUGCAAGGCCCAAGGACUUGGGCCAUCCUCCACUGCACUCCCUUCCCACAGCAGAGAGUUGGACUGGAAGAGGAGCAACCGGGACAGAAUCCGGCACCCCGACUGGGACUAGAACCCAGGGUGCCAGCAUCACAGGCGGAGGAUUAGCCUAUUGGGCCGCGGCACCGGCCUAAAAUCACUUUUCUCCAAAGAAUGGAUUUCUUCUUUUUUCAUUAGUCACUCAUAUGUACCAUUUGGCCACAUCUAUGACUUCUGGACACGACAAAUGCUCAUCAGGUUCAAUAGAAAUCCUCACAAUUCUAUAUUCUUUAGGCUAAAAUAACCCAAGUGCAGAAAACAAACAAAAUUGUAAUCAAGUUCUCUGAAACAAGUGCUAUGCUAAACAUAUUUCAUUUAGCAUCUCAUUUAACCCAUCCAAUGUCCCUUGAGAGGAAACUUCAUUCUAGUUUUAUAACUUACAAAACUGUACUGUAUAAAAUUGGAGUUCUGCCACCAGAAUCAGGACAUUGACUUGAGUUCAUUCCACAUAGUUACUUGUGUGUUCUGCCAAUUGUUCUUCCAGUUUUUGAAAUUAUUGGGUUCUUCCAGUUGGAUCUCCCUUUUGUAAUUUCACGGAAGUCCAUGAACUUUAGUUCCUAGUUUAUUACCUCUACAUCAAUUAACUGAGAUUGCCACUAAUCUCUGACUGAUUAGAUCACAUGGAAUGUUGCUAAAUUUCAGCUGUAAGAAUUCGAGAAAAUAACUUACCUCUAAAAGAUAUCCAUCUGUCUAAUAUCAAAGCUAUCCUUGCAAUAAUCAUUUCCAGUUGUAAAGUCAUUGACUCCCUUGUCCAGUCCCUUCACAUGUUCUCAGAUAUUUUAACAAUUGCCCAACAUAAUCUAAUCCUCCCUUUAAAAUAAGCCUUCUUGGCUUAUUUUAUUUAUAUAUUUUAUUUUAUUUUAUUUAUUUUAUUAAAAUAAGCCAGCACUGUGUUGUAGCCACUAAAGCCACUUCUUGCAAUGCUGGCAUCCCAUAUGGACAUUGAUUUGUGUCCCAGUUGUUCCAGUUACACAUAGAGAGAAGCAGAGGCCGAGAGAGAGAGAGAGAGAGAGAGAGAGAGAGAGAGAAAGAGAGAAAGAGAAAGUCUUCCAUCUGGUGGUUCACUCCUCAAUUGGCCAUAAUGGCUGGAGCUGCAUGGAUAGAAAGCCAGGAGCCAGGAGCUUCUUCUGGAGCUCCUACGGGGGUGCAGGGAAUUCAAGGAUUUGGGCCAUCUUCUACUGCUUUCUCAGGCCAUAGCAGAGAGUUAGAUUGGAAGUGGUACAGCCAGGACUCAAACCAGCGCCCAUAUGGGAUGCUGGCACUGCAGGCACUAGCUUUACCCCUACACCAGCCCCACUGCUCCACUUCUGAACCUGUUCCCUGCUUGGGAAAGCAGCAGAAGAUGGCCCAUGUCCUUGUUCUCUUGCAUUCAAGUGGGAGAAGGAAAGAAGCCCCUGACUCCUGGCUUUAGCCUGGCCCAGCCCUGACCAUUUUAUCCAUUUGGGGAAUGACCCAGUGGAUAGAAGGUUUCUCUCUCUCUCUCUCUCUCUCUCUCUCUCUCUCCCUAUCCUUCUCUGUAAAUCUGACACUAAAAUAAAUAAGUAAAUAUUUAAAAAUAGAAAUAAUAAAUCAUUUUUUAAUUCCUCCACUAGAACAUAGCCUUGGAUCUAACCAAUUCUCAUUUACAGCCCAAUUUGUUUCCAGAAGAAACAAAUCCUGCAAGCAGCCUUGUUCUCCAUCUCUUUGGCAGACAUUUACACAAAUGGUUCUAUGGGACUGCAUAUUCAUUUUACUUGCUUCCUCCUCCCCCAAUUUGAAUGUAAACUGAUGAAAAUUCUGUGUUCACAGAAGUUACAAAACAAAUGUUUGUUGACUGCUGUAGUUCUUUUGUUACUCAGUACCCCCAAUCCACUCUGCCCUGCCUCUCGCUUGGUCACCUGGUUAAAUAGGCUCUUGAUGAAUGCUUACUAAAAGGAAUAAUGAACCAGCAACAACUAAAUAUAAGGUGCUGUUGUAAUAAUUGGCUUGGUCAGACAGAUAUUUGGAUACCAUGUGGAAUUCUGUGGCAGCAGUGGAAUGCCAUUGGGUAUAUGGAGGUCUGGCAGAGACCAAACUGUGGUUAUAUCUGGGCACAAGAGGGUGAGGGUGAGAGUAGGAAAAAUCGAGCAGGAGUCAUUGUGUCUGGGAUGAAAUGGAGGGUUUGAGAAGGGAAGAAAGAAGCUGAAUAGCAGACUGGUUUGUAAGAUUGGGAAAUCAGGUGUGAAUAAUGGACAACAGCACUAACAAUCAUAAUAAAUGGGUAAUAUUACAUAGCUAAAUGGACAAUUUCAAAUUUGGAUGGCAGCUUAAUUGUUUUUGGAGGUUUCCAAUUCUUCAUUGUCAAUAGGAAACCUAAAGUGAAUUUUGCAGAAGAAAAAAAAAGAAAAUACAAUGAAGUAUUUUUUAAAAGAUUUACUUUAUUUAUUUGAAAGACAGAGUUACAGAGAGAGGAGAGGCAGAGAGAGAGAGAGGGAGGUCUUCCAUCCGAUGGUUCACUCCCUAGAUGGCCACAACGGCUGGAGCUGCGCCGAUCCAAAGCCAGGAGCUUCUUCUGGGUCUCCCACAUGAGUACAAGGGCCCAAGGACUUGGGCCAUUUUCCACUGCUAUCCCAGGCCAUAUCAGAGAGCUGGAUUGGAAGAGGAGCAGUCAGGACUAGAAUUGGUGCCCACAUUGGAUGCUGGCGCUUCAGGCCAGGGCGUUAACCUGCUGCACCACAGUGCCAGCCCCACAAUGAAGUAUUUUUAAAGUAUAAGUAAAGAUAUGAUGGUGGAGUGUCUGGGUGAAGCACAGUGAUGUCUGGAACUGAUUUUGAAAUGGAUUGCAUAUAAGAUAGAUUGAUAGAGCUCUGGAGAUGGCUAUACAUAUAGUAAGACAAGUAAAAGUAAAAUGUUAAUUAUAGAAUUUAGGUGGUAGCUAUGCAUAUGUUCACAAUGAAAUAUAGUUAAACUUUAUUGUUUGAAAAAUGCAUUGUGAGGAAACUGCCUCAGUUCCCUUGAAAAGAAUCAUGUUAUACAAUGAACAGAUAAGAAUUAGUUCACUAAGUAGGAUAUUUCAGUAUAGUACUAAAUCUGUAUAUUUCCACCGGGCUUUUUCCAUCCAUUCACUACAGUGUGAUGACAUAGAGGAAAGAUUUCAGAGACAGACUAACUUGUCCCCAAUUUUUAGCUUUUGAUAAGUCACUAACUUCCCUGUCCCACAAUUCCUUCAUCAAUCAACAACAAAAUAAUGAUUUUAUUUGAUAAUUCUAGGGUUAUUGUGAAAAUCAAAUUAGUAAACGUAAAAUGCUUAGAAAGGGCUACAAAACAAAUAAGCUCUGUGUCAAUGUCACCAGUUCUAGUCAGAAUAACAAUCAUUAAAUCUUCCUAUUUGCCAUUUUGGAAUGGGAAUAAUUAAUCUGCUUUAACAUAGAAGAAACUGAGGGUUUUUCUAAUUUUUUAAAAAUAUUUCAUUUAUUUAUUUGAGAGGUAGCGUUGCAGAUAGCGAGAGGGAGAGACAGAGAGAAAGGUCUUCCGCCUGCUGGUUCACUCCCCAGUGGUUGCAAGGGCCAGAGCUGAGCCAAUCCGAAGCCAGGAGCCAGGAUUUUCCACUGGGUCUCCCGCAUGGGUGCAGACGCACAAGUGCUUGGGCCAUCUUCCACUGCUUUUCCAGGCCACAGCAGAGAGCUGUAUCAGAAGAGGAGCAGCCGAGACUAGAACCAGUGCCCAUAUGGGAUACUGGUGCCACUGACUGAGAAUUAACCUACUGUGCCACAGCGCCGGCCCUGAAACUGAGGUUUGGAAAAACAUUCUUGCCUAAAUUCAUGUAGAUUAGUCAGAGAGUGAUACUGAGUCUCAACUCAAGCCUUCUCUGCCUCUUUCAAAUUUUGCUUCUCUUUGUCUCCCAACUCUGGAUCCAAUGUUUGCCACCUCCAGAUUGGAAAGGAAUGCAAAGUGUUCAGCUGAGUACCUGGUGCAUGAUGAGAACAGAGGCUUUAGAAAGGGUAUAUUGCCCAACAUCCCACAGAACGCAAGUCUGAGUCAUCAACCCAUCUGGUUCCAAAGCCCAUGCAUUUUUAACAACCCUGCAACACUUUCAUGAAUGAAGGGAAGACUGCUUCAAAGCUUAGCCGAAUGAGCCAAGUGGAGAUUUCAGGAGCUGCCAGAUCCAGACACGAGCGGUCUGCUUGCUCGGAACCAAAAUGGAACAAUCAGAGGAAGCGAAGGAUUAGGAAGGAGAAGCCGAAGAUUACAGGCUGAAGUCUGUUAACAGAGCAGAGGCUGCAUGGUGAGUGACAACACUGAUGACAAUAAACUAAAUUGUCACCUAUUGAGUAGCCACCAUUUACAAGAUCCCAUGUACAUUAACUUCCCCAACAAUACUGAGGUUUGGAUGGGAUUUCACACAUUUUUGAAAUUGAAAAAAAAAAGAGAUUGGAUCAAACAGCAAGUCACUCAAAGUCAGAAAUUAAUAAGAGGAAACAGGUUUGCUACACAUGCCUGUCAGAUUCAAAGACCAAGUUUUACCUUGAACUGCCCUGAUGAACCAAUAAUAAAUCCAAAACCUAAAUCCUAAAUAAUAAACAUUGCAUACAAUUCCAAUUUUCAGUUUCUCCUAUACAUACUGGAUAUAGAAGGGAUAAAGAUGCCAAAGAGGGUGUUGCUUUGAAGACAGUGACAGUUCAUAUACUGGUUCUAAAUUUUAGUUAGUAUACACCGAGUUUUUCCCUAAUGACAGAACAAUCAGAAGGUGAUUUUAUUUGUGAAGAGAGAUAGAGUGCGCAGACAGUGAAGGUGAGGGGAGAGAAUGAGGGGGUGAGGGAGAGGAGAAGAAGGGGAGAGGGAGAGAUUCUUCUGGAGCUAAAUUAACAGGCAGAAAUGAAUUGUUGGCAUAGUAUGAACUCAGAGGAGAGUUUAUUGGUAAGCUCUUGCAAGAACACACUGAGAAGAAUAUGGUCUGGAAAAGGAUGAACAACACUGGGUCUGACAGCAGCCUGGUCAUUUGAGCUAAGAAUGGAUACAUCACUGUAAAAAAAUUAGAAUAAUGCAUAGAGAAAAGAAAAUGAUGCUGCAGUUAUACAGAUGUUUAGGUCCUUUGUUUGCAAAUGACAGAAUCCAGCAUAAGGCAGCAUAAAAAAAAAUGUAUAGGAGCUAAUGAAAGCACACAGGAAUUUCUCUUGGAAUAGUAGGAACAGUAAAUACAAAAAUAGGGAAGUAACAUUGCUAAGAUGCAGGAAAAUGGUUAAUUAGAUAAAAGCAUCACUCAAGCAGCUAUAUGGAUCAGAGAAAGGAAUAGUGGAUGCUAAAAUGCCACAAAACUCUUCGCUGUUUUUGCUGAGAUUCGGCUACUUUUCUUCAACAAAGUUAUUGGUUCUCUUAGCUAUGUAAAUAAUAAUGCUAUUUACUGUGAUAGGGGACAUUGGCCAAAGGCAAAUAUGAGACAGGAGAAAUAGAUGAAUGAUAUCUUUAAUUCUGAACAAAUUGGAUUUGAGAUGCCUGUGGGUCCUCCAAGAGAUGUCCAUAAACACGUAGAUGGAUUCAAGUGGAUUUCAGAAGAAAUAUAUUGGAUAGAGUCAUGAAUGAGAAGUCACUAGCACAAAGAUGUCAACUGGAGGUGUAGUAGUGGUAAGGACAUCCAAACAGAACAGGGAAAGAAAUCAAAUAUAUAAACUUAAAAAAAAAAAAAAAAAACAAGUGAAAGCAAGAGUGAUGAGUCAGAAAAAUUAAAAAAAAAAAGUUCAGAUUUCAUAAAAGUAGUCAGAGAGAAGAGGAAAUUAGGAGGCGGAGCACUUUCAUAAUGGGGAGUAAGGACAACUGAAAAUUGGCUUUUCCAUAAAAGGUAAGGAGAAUACUGGAAAAAUCAUCAAAAUAAACUUUUCAGAAUCUUAGAAUUUAAUCUAAAGCUUGAAAAAUUCUGAAGAAUCUUUUUAUUUAUUUAUUUAUUUAUUUGACAGGCAGAGUGGACAGUGAGAGAGAGAGACAGAGAGAAAGGUCUUCCUUUGCCGUUGGUUCACCCUCCAAUGGCUGCUGUGGCCGGCGUGCUGCAGCCGGCGCACGGUGCUGAUCCAAUGGCAGGAGCCAGAUACUUACCCUGGUCUCCCAUGCGGGUGCAGGGCCCAAGCACUUGGGCCAUCCUCCACUGCACUCCCUGGCCACAGCAGCAAGCUGGCCUGGAAGAGGGGCAACUGGGACAGAACCCGGCGCCCCGACCAGGACUAGAACCCGGUGUGCCGAGGCCACAAGGCGGAGGAUUAGCCUAGUGAGCCGCGGUGCCGGCUCUGAAGAAUCUUUAAUAAAAAAAAGCUAAAUGUCAGUAAGAACAAUAUAGAGUGUUGUGGCAUUUUAGCAAACAUUAUUACUAUUUCCUUCUACUCACAUAGCAGCCAUGGAAACCAAUAGCUUUACAAACAUGGUAGCUGCAAAGACUACAAAACUAGGAGCCUCUGAAAGGGACAGAAAGAGAUUGAAGUCUAGAGAUUUCCCAAAAGUCCAAUUCCCAACUUCUACUAUAUUUUUUAUGUAGUAACUCAGUGGAAUACUCCAUAGGCAUUGUCUGUAUUUGACCCAAGGUGGAUCUUGGUGACUGGAAAAAGCUAUGUGGCCAGGGUGUUUGCCAAAAACAACCAAUUGACCAUAUUUGUUUUUUGUUUCAACAUUUUUUUUUUUGGACAGGCAGAGUGGACAGUGAGAGAGAGACAGAGAGAAAGAGAGAAAGGUCUUCCUUUUGCCAUUGGUUCACCCUCCAAUGGCCGCCGCGGCCGGCGCAAUGCGGCCGGUGCAUCACACUGAUCUGAAGCCAGGAGCCAUGGGGCCUCUCCUGGUCUCCCAUGGGGUGCAGGGCCCAAGCACUUGGGCCAUCCUCCACUGCACUCCCUGGCCACAGCAGAGAGCUGGCCUGGAAGAGGGGCAACCGAGACAGAAUCCGGUGCCCCGACCGGGACUAGAACCUGGGGUGCUAGCGCCUCAGGCGGAGGAUUAGCCUAGUGAGCUGCAGCACCGGCAGUUUCUUAGAUUUGACACCCAAAACAAGUGGAAGUAGAAUAAGAAGGCAUACUGGAAAAAGAAAAAUAUCAUAUAAUUUCCCUGAUUUUAAUAACUAAUAUACAGCAUAUAAAAAUAAUGUACAUGAAUGACAUUUUGAGAUUUUAUUAUUAUUUACAGUCCUUGAAUAUACUCCUAAAGAACAA